rnacentral:rRNA from 1 species
GGGUGCAAUCAUACCAACGUUAAUGCAUUCGAUCCCAUCAGAACUCUGCAGUUAAGCCUGCUUGGGCCAGAGUAGUACUGGGAUGGGUGACCUCCCAGGAAGUCCUGGUGUUGCACCCU